AUCUAGCUGACGAGUUCUAAAUAGGACAAAGUGCGUGUCCUGGAU
rnacentral:hammerhead_ribozyme from 1 species